rnacentral:lncRNA from 1 species
UUGAGGGAUAUUAAGGGAACAGCCCUGGCUGGGACGAGUUGGGCGGGGGGGCGCUAGAGAGAGAGGGACUUCUUUCUCCAAGUUAGCUCACUCCUCAAAAAUGCAGGUGUCAGAAAGUUUUCGGGUAGGCGCGCCUCCGGGGGACAGCUCCCAGUCUGACCUAGGGAUCUUCUGCAAGAAGAAAGAAAGGAAUGGCCCAAACAGUCUUAAUCUAGUAUUCUUCAUUCACUCCAAGUGCAGGUGCAUCUCAUUUUAUGCAACAGGCAUAUGUGUAAACCAAAAUUUAAAAAAAGGAUUCAUAUUUAAAAGCAUCUGAUGGAGCUUGCUAUUUAAAGUGAUGCCCAAUAGAUUUUGCUCCAGCCUCUUACCUUUACCC